AAAGCAUUAAAAACCAUGAUAUACUUUUCGCUGUGAAAUUUAAAAGCAAAGAGAUCACAUCGGCUUCUCCAGUCUGAACUAGGUGCCUCGUCUGUUUUUUCUUUUCUCUUUUUUUAAAAAAAUGGGACAGGGAGGGGCUAGGGGAGUGGGAGGGUGAGUGAUGGGGGUGUCACGUGCAAAGAAGCCCUCACUUCAAAGGGACGUCUGGCAGGGAGCAGGUGGGCUGCUCUCCAGGGAAGGUGCAAGGACAGUUGCUGUGCUGAAAUGCACAUGUGGCAGCACAGCAAAUGAGGAGCACUGGAAGAUCAAAAGGAAACCUGAAAAUCACAGGUCACCCUCACUCUGUACCUCUCAACUAGGAUUACCAGGUCAGCCAUUUGAAAGGGAGCACCCGAUCUUUACAAGGUCAAGAGCCACUGACUUUGAGUUGAUUUUCAGCAAACCUUCAGAGGACAAAGGGCAAACCCUCAGCCCGUACAGUUUUGGUGCUGUCAGCAGGAUAACCAAAACUGCUCUGCUCUUCCAGAAGCUGCAGUCAAGGGAACCCAGGACCUGACAAGCUGGCAGAAUAUGCACAGAAUUACCCUCUGCACCACACCACUGCUGCUGGCAAUGAAGGAGGAGAGGCACUGGCGAUCCAAGGCUUUUUUCUACCUCUUCAAUGCCUCUUUCAGUGACAUGAAGUUAAAACCAGAUACUGAAUUUCAUCAAGUAACCAGGAAUGAUUAACCAGCAAAGAAGAGAAGAGACUGGGAGUUAUCUCCACACUCAAAUAAACUUUCCUCUAUUCUUCUGAGGGUAGGUCCAAGAGAUUAUCUGGGUGGUUUUAUCUGCAUAAAAGACCUUUGCUCACAGUGAAGUUCUGUCCCUCACCUGCCUACCACCUCCCCCAGUGCUCAGAGGAACUUCAUUCAAGGCCAUGAUUCUUUGGGUUCAUUCAUUUCCUCUGAAAAUCAGUUACUCCUACAAUCUCCCCUUCCCUGAUGAAGAAGAGUUGGGUUGCUGGGUAAUCAUUCUCCUGUGAUUAUCCUGUGCUAUGCUUAAAUAAAUGGCUUUUUUUCUCCCAUUA
rnacentral:lncRNA from 1 species